AAAUUGAAGAGUUUGAUCAUGGCUCAGAUUGAACGCUGGCGGCAGGCCUAACACAUGCAAGUCGAACGGUAACAGGAAGCAGCUUGCUGCUUUGCUGACGAGUGGCGGACGGGUGAGUAAUGUCUGGGAAACUGCCUGAUGGAGGGGGAUAACUACUGGAAACGGUAGCUAAUACCGCAUAACGUCGCAAGACCAAAGGGGGGGACCUUAGGGCCUCUUGCCAUCGGAUGUGCCCAGAUGGGAUUAGCUAGUAGGUGGGGUAAAGGCUCACCUAGGCGACGAUCCCUAGCUGGUCUGAGAGGAUGACCAGCCACACUGGAACUGAGACACGGUCCAGACUCCUACGGGAGGCAGCAGUG
rnacentral:rRNA from 1 species